CGGAUUCUGUUUUGCCCACGAUUGGACUUUCUUACGGAUAUCUUAAUAAACGACAACUAUUGCGCUUUCCCACGGACUCUGUUUUAUGCUCAAGUUUUGGUGUGAACAUGUCCAGGCUGAAAUGCUGUGUACCUGGCUGUGAUGUCGUUGCAGGAAGUGGUACUCUCCUACACACGUUUCCAGAUCCUAAGAAGAACAAUAAGUUGUUUGAGAUUUGGAUAACGAGAAUUGGUGGUGACCUCAAUGAGUUAAAUGUGGAUUAUGUUUACAAGAACAGAAGAGUUUGUCGAAAACAUUUUGUGGAGACAUACCUCUACCCCAAAAAAUUAUGUCCUAUGGCAGUGCCUUCACGUCUUUUACCAAGAGAUGUUGAAGAUGAUAGAAGAAGAAGACCAUUACUGAUUGCUGAACCAAUUAGUAAUAUGCCACUAUUACAUAUGGAUGUACCUAGCACAUCACAAGGUAAGGUUAGGUUAGGUUAUUUUUACCUAAGGACAUA